rnacentral:lncRNA from 1 species
UUUCUCUUCUCUUGGGUGUUCUAUACACCCCUUCCUUGGGAUGCGCACCCCAAGGAGUUUCAUUCCCAAAGAAGUUUGGAUGCCUCUUUCUUAUUGGUUUCUAGCAUCUGGUAGCAGCACAUAGCAAAAAGAAACUCUAAAGAAGAGGAGAAGAAGAAGAUCAAGGAGAAAGAUCAAGUGUUGAUCGCGAUCCAGAUUUCGUUC